rnacentral:rRNA from 1 species
UUAAGCGACUAAGCGUACACGGUGGAUGCCCUGGCAGUCAGAGGCGAUGAAGGACGUGCUAAUCUGCGAAAAGCGUCGGUAAGGUGAUAUGAACCGUUAUAACCGGCGAUGUCCGAAUGGGGAAACCCAGUGCAAUUCGUUGCACUAUCGUUAACUGAAUACAUAGGUUAACGAGGCGAACCGGGGGAACUGAAACAUCUAAGUACCCCGAGGAAAAGAAAUCAACCGAGAUUCCCCCAGUAGCGGCGAGCGAACGGGGAGCAGCCCAGAGUCUGAAUCAGCUUGUGUGUUAGUGGAACGGUCUGGAAAGUCCGACGGUACAGGGUGAUAGUCCCGUACACCAAAAUGCACAGGUUGUGAACUCGAAGAGUAGGGCGGGACACGUGGUAUCCUGUCUGAAUAUGGGGGGACCAUCCUCCAAGGCUAAAUACUCCUGACUGACCGAUAGUGAACCAGUACCGUGAGGGAAAGGCGAAAAGAACCCCGGCGAGGGGAGUGAAAAAGAACCUGAAACCGUGUACGUACAAGCAGUGGGAGCACCUUCGGGUGUGACUGCGUACCUUUUGUAUAAUGGGUCAGCGACUUAUAUUCUGUAGCAAGGUUAACCGUAUAGGGGAGCCGCAGGGAAACCGAGUCUUAACUGGGCGUUAAGUUGCAGGGUAUAGACCCGAAACCCGGUGAUCUAGCCAUGGGCAGGUUGAAGGUUGGGUAACACUAACUGGAGGACCGAACCGACUAAUGUUGAAAAAUUAGCGGAUGACUUGUGGCUGGGGGUGAAAGGCCAAUCAAACCGGGAGAUAGCUGGUUCUCCCCGAAAGCUAUUUAGGUAGCGCCUCGUGAACUCAUCUUCGGGGGUAGAGCACUGUUUCGGCUAGGGGGUCAUCCCGACUUACCAACCCGAUGCAAACUACGAAUACCGAAGAAUGUUAUCACGGGAGACACACGGCGGGUGCUAACGUCCGUCGUGAAGAGGGAAACAACCCAGACCGCCAGCUAAGGUCCCAAAGUCAUGGUUAAGUGGGAAACGAUGUGGGAAGGCACAGACAGCCAGGAUGUUGGCUUAGAAGCAGCCAUCAUUUAAAGAAAGCGUAAUAGCUCACUGGUCGAGUCGGCCUGCGCGGAAGAUGUAACGGGGCUAAACCAUGCACCGAAGCUGCGGCAGCGACACUAUGUGUUGUUGGGUAGGGGAGCGUUCUGUAAGCCUGCGAAGGUGUGCUGUGAGGCAUGCUGGAGGUAUCAGAAGUGCGAAUGCUGACAUAAGUAACGAUAAAGCGGGUGAAAAGCCCGCUCGCCGGAAGACCAAGGGUUCCUGUCCAACGUUAAUCGGGGCAGGGUGAGUCGACCCCUAAGGCGAGGCCGAAAGGCGUAGUCGAUGGGAAACAGGUUAAUAUUCCUGUACUUGGUGUUACUGCGAAGGGGGGACGGAGAAGGCUAUGUUAGCCGGGCGACGGUUGUCCCGGUUUAAGCAUGUAGGCUGAUUAUCCAGGCAAAUCCGGAUAAUCAAGGCUGAGGUGUGAUGACGAGGCACUACGGUGCUGAAGUAACAAAUGCCCUGCUUCCAGGAAAAGCCUCUAAGCAUCAGGUAACAUCAAAUCGUACCCCAAACCGACACAGGUGGUCAGGUAGAGAAUACCAAGGCGCUUGAGAGAACUCGGGUGAAGGAACUAGGCAAAAUGGUGCCGUAACUUCGGGAGAAGGCACGCUGGUGUGUAGGUGAAGUCCCUGCGGAUGGAGCUGAGACCAGUCGAAGAUACCAGCUGGCUGCAACUGUUUAUUAAAAACACAGCACUGUGCAAACACGAAAGUGGACGUAUACGGUGUGACGCCUGCCCGGUGCCGGAAGGUUAAUUGAUGGGGUUAUCCGUAAGGAGAAGCUCUUGAUCGAAGCCCCGGUAAACGGCGGCCGUAACUAUAACGGUCCUAAGGUAGCGAAAUUCCUUGUCGGGUAAGUUCCGACCUGCACGAAUGGCGUAAUGAUGGCCAGGCUGUCUCCACCCGAGACUCAGUGAAAUUGAACUCGCUGUGAAGAUGCAGUGUACCCGCGGCAAGACGGAAAGACCCCGUGAACCUUUACUAUAGCUUGACACUGAACAUUGAGCCUUGAUGUGUAGGAUAGGUGGGAGGCUUUGAAGCGUGGACGCCAGUCUGCGUGGAGCCAACCUUGAAAUACCACCCUUUAAUGUUUGAUGUUCUAACGUUGGCCCCUUAUCGGGGUUGCGGACAGUGUCUGGUGGGUAGUUUGACUGGGGCGGUCUCCUCCCAAAGCGUAACGGAGGAGCACGAAGGUUAGCUAAUCCUGGUCGGACAUCAGGAGGUUAGUGCAAUGGCAUAAGCUAGCUUGACUGCGAGCGUGACGGCGCGAGCAGGUGCGAAAGCAGGUCAUAGUGAUCCGGUGGUUCUGAAUGGAAGGGCCAUCGCUCAACGGAUAAAAGGUACUCCGGGGAUAACAGGCUGAUACCGCCCAAGAGUUCAUAUCGACGGCGGUGUUUGGCACCUCGAUGUCGGCUCAUCACAUCCUGGGGCUGAAGUAGGUCCCAAGGGUAUGGCUGUUCGCCAUUUAAAGUGGUACGCGAGCUGGGUUUAGAACGUCGUGAGACAGUUCGGUCCCUAUCUGCCGUGGGCGCUGGAGAAUUGAGGGGGGCUGCUCCUAGUACGAGAGGACCGGAGUGGACGCAUCACUGGUGUUCGGGUUGUCAUGCCAAUGGCACUGCCCGGUAGCUAAAUGCGGAAGAGAUAAGUGCUGAAAGCAUCUAAGCACGAAACUUGCCCCGAGAUGAGUUCUCCCUGAGACU